rnacentral:rRNA from 1 species
AGUGAACGCUGGCGGUAGGCCUAACACAUGCAAGUCGAACGGCAGCACAGUAAGAGCUUGCUCUUAUGGGUGGCGAGUGGCGGACGGGUGAGGAAUACAUCGGAAUCUACCUUUUCGUGGGGGAUAACGUAGGGAAACUUACGCUAAUACCGCAUACGACCUUCGGUGAAAGCAGGGGACCUUCGGGCCGUUGCGCGGAU